GCGACCCCAGGUCAGGCGGGACUACCCGCUGAGUUUAAGCAUAUCAAUAAGCGGAGGAAAAGAAACUUAUCGGAUUCCCUUAGUAACG
rnacentral:rRNA from 1 species